rnacentral:rRNA from 1 species
GACGAGCCACACAAACGUUAUUCGGAAUUACUGGGCGUAAAGGGUCGCGUAGGCGGUUGUUUAAGUUUGGUCGUGAAAUCUCCCGGCUCAACUGGGAGGUGCGCCGAAUACUGAAUGACUAGAGUGCGGGAGAGGAUAGUGGAAUUCCUGGUGUAGCGGUGAAAUGCGCAGAUAUCAGGAGGAACACCGGUGGCGAAAGGCGGUCUCC